UAGGGAAUAUUGGUAAUGGGCGAAAGCCCGAACCAGCAACGCCGCGUGCGCGAUGAAGGCCUUCGGGUUGUAAAGCGCUUUUUAAGGGGAUGAGGAAGGACAGUACUCUUAGAAUAAGUCUCGGCUAACUACGUGCCAGCAGCCGCGGUAACACGUAGGAGGCAAACGUUAUCCGGAUUUACUGGGCGUAAAGCGCGUGUAGGUGGUUCUGUAAGUAGGGCGUGAAAGCUCCUGGCUCAACUGGGAGAGGCCGUUCUAAACUGCAGAGCUAGAGGAUGGUAGAGGGAGGUGGAAUUCCGGGUGUAGCGGUGGAAUGCGCAGAUAUCCGGAGGAACACCAGUGGCGAAAGCGGCCUCCUGGACCAUUCCUGACACUCAGACGCGAAAGCUAGGGUAGCAAACG
rnacentral:rRNA from 1 species